GCGCGUUUAGCUCAGCGGGAGAGCGCUUCCCUGACACGGAAGAGGUCACUGGUUCGAUCCCAGUAUCGCGCACCG
rnacentral:tRNA from 2 species